rnacentral:snRNA from 1 species
GGAGGUGAGGGCGAUCUGGCUGCUACAUCUGUUACCCCAUUGAUCACCAGGGUUGAUUCAGCUGAUCUGGCUGGCUAGGUGGGUGUCCUCCCUCAGUGCUCCAUGUGUGUCCCUCUUGAAACUGUGCAUUCAGUCAAAGUGAAUGACCUUCCCCGGUAGAGGAGGACCAGUAUAUGAAUAGCUGCUCUCCCCUGCUAGAACCUCCAACCAAGCUCUCAGUCUGGCACAAUACAUAAAGCUGGUACACCGUACUGGGGAGGGGUAAGUACUCAGUAAUGUUGGGUGAUACAUUAUGUUGUUAAGUGCAAUCCCCAUU